rnacentral:rRNA from 1 species
GUCUACGGCCAUACCACCCUGAACACACCCGAUCUCAUCUGAGCUCGGAAGCUAAGCAGGUUAAUAUAUUAACCCUGCUUAGCUGGUUAAUA